rnacentral:rRNA from 1 species
AGUGAACGCUGGCGGUAGGCCUAACACAUGCAAGUCGAACGGCAGCACAGUAAGAGCUUGCUCUUACGGGUGGCGAGUGGCGGACGGGUGAGGAAUACAUCGGAAUCUACUUUUUCGCGGGGGAUAACGUAGGGAAACUUACGCUAAUACCGCAUACGACCUACGGGUGAAAGCAGGGGACCUUCGGACCUUGCGCGAUUGAAUGAGCCGAUGUCGGAUUAGCUAGUUGGCGGGGUAAAGGCCCACCAAGGCGACGAUCCGUAGCUGGUCUGAGAGGAUGAUCAGCCACACUGGAACUGAGACACGGUCCAGACUCCUACGGGAGGCAGCAGUGGGGAAUAUUGGACAAUGGGCGCAAGCCUGAUCCAGCCAUACCGCGUGGGUGAAGAAGGCCUUCGGGUUGUAAAGCCCUUUUGUUGGGAAAGAAAAGCAGCAGGUUAAUACCCCGCUGUUCUGACGGUACCCAAAGAAUAAGCACCGGCUAACUUCGUG